UACGAAGGGGGCUAGCGUUGUUCGGAAUUACUGGGCGUAAAGCGCACGUAGGCGGAUCGAUCAGUCAGGGGUGAAAUCCCAGGGCUCAACCCUGGAACUGCCUUUGAUACUGUCGAUCUGGAGUAUGGAAGAGGUGAGUGGAAUUCCGAGUGUAGAGGUGAAAUUCGUAGAUAUCGGGAGGAACACCAGUGGCGAAGGCGGCGAUCUGGGAAGAUAUUGACGCUGAGGUGCGAAAGCGUGGGGAGCAAACAGG
rnacentral:rRNA from 1 species